GGACAGCCGCGGGUGUCAGCCGAAAGGCGGCACAUGAGGAAAGUCCGGGCUCCGCAGGGCAGGGUGCCGGGUAAUUCCCGGUGAAGGCGACUUCAAGGCAAGUGCAACAGAAACAGACCGCCGGCAGGUUCUGCCGGCAAGGGUGGAACGGUGAGGUAAGAGCUCACCAGCGGGAUGGCGACAUUCCGGCUCUGUAAACCCCACCUGGAGCAACACCGCGGAGGGACAUAUUUGCGGCCCGCAAGUCCCGUGGAGGUGGCUGGAGCCGGCUGGCAACAGCCGGCCUAGAUAGAUGGUUGUCCAAGACAGGAUCCGGCUUACAGGCUUGCUCGGAAA
rnacentral:RNase_P_RNA from 1 species